UACGGAGGAUGCAAGCGUUAUCCGGAAUGAUUGGGCGUAAAGCGUCCGCAGGUGGCUGUGUAAGUCUGCUGCCAAAGAGCGAAGCUCAACUUCGUAAAGGCAGUGGAAACUACACGGCUAGAGUGCGUUCGGGGCAGAGGGAAUUCCUGGUGUAGCGGUGAAAUGCGUAGAGAUCAGGAAGAACACCGGUGGCGAAGGCGCUCUGCUAGGCCGCAACUGACACUGAGGGACGAAAGCUAGGGGAGCGAAUGGG
rnacentral:rRNA from 1 species